UGGGUUCUCAUCUGCUAUCUCCUUUGCUUCUACAAGCUAUACCUUUCAUGACUCCCUAUACUCUGUGAAAGCAUGAAUUCCUAUAGCUUGUAUUAGCAAAGGAGGUAGCAAAUGAGGAUCCG